CAAUAGCGUAUAUUAAAGUUGUUGCGGUUAAAAAGCUCGUAGUUGGAUUUCUGCUGAGGACGACCGGUCCGCCCUCUGGGUGAGUAUCUGGCUCGGCCUGGCAUCUUCUUGGGGAACGUAACUGCACUUGACUGUGUGGUGCGGUAUCCAGGACUUUUACUUUGAGGAAAUUAGAGUGUUUCAAGCAGGCAUACGCCUUGAAUACAUUAGCAUGGAAUAAUGAGAUAGGACUUUUGGUACUAUUUGUUGGUUUGCGCACCAAGGUAAUGAUUAAUAGGGAUAGUUGGGGGUAUUCAUAUUCAAUUGUCAGAGGUGAAAUUCUUGGAUUUUAUGGAAGAUGAACUUAUGCGAAAG
rnacentral:rRNA from 1 species